rnacentral:rRNA from 1 species
UACGUAGGCAGCGAGCGUUGUUCGGAGUUACUGGGCGUAAAGGGUGCGUAGGCGGUUGUUUAAGUUUGGUGUGAAAUCUCCCGGCUCAACUGGGAGGGUGCGCCGAAUACUGAAUGACUAGAGUGCGGGAGAGGAGAGUGGAAUUCCUGGUGUAGCGGUGAAAUGCGUAGAUAUCAGGAGGAACACCGUGGUGUAGACGGCUCUCUGGACCGUAACUGACGCUGAGGCACGAAAGCGUGGGUAGCAAACAGG